UAACGAAUCUUCCGCAAUGCACGAAAGUGUGACGGAGCAAUGCCGCGUGAAGGACGAAGCCCUUCGGGGUGUAAACUUCUAAAACCAUCAGGAAAGUUCUGAUCCGGUGGUGAUAAGGGGCGACUAACUCUGUGCCAGCAGUCGCGGUAAUACAGAGGCCCCGAGCGUUAGGCGGAAUCACUGGGCUUAAAGCGUGCGUAGGCGGCUCAUCAAGUGUCUUGUGAAAGCCCACGGCUCAACCGUGGAAUUGCUCGGCAUACUGGUGAGCUUGAGUCAUCUAGAGGCAGGUGGAACUGACAGUGGAGCGGUGAAAUGCAUAGAUAUUGUCGGGAACGCCAACGGCGAAAGCAGCCUGCUGGGGAUGAACUGACGCUGAGGUACGAAAGCCAGGGUAGCGAACGGGAUUAGAUACCCCCGUAGUCC
rnacentral:rRNA from 1 species